UACGUAAGGUGCGAGCGUUGUUCGGAAUUAUUGGGCGUAAAGGGCGUGUAGGCGGUUUGGAAGGUCUGGUUUGAAAGGUCCCGGCUUAACCGGGGAAUUGGGUCAGAAACCACCAGACUUGAGUUCAUAGGGAGAAGCUGGAAUUCCUGGUGUAGGGGUGAAAUCUGUAGAUAUCAGGAAGAACACCGGUAGCGAAGGCGAGCUUCUAUGAAUGGACUGACGCUGAGGCGCGAAAGCGUGGGGAGCGAACAGGAUUAGAUACCCUCGUA
rnacentral:rRNA from 1 species